rnacentral:rRNA from 1 species
AGGUAAAGACCGAUUUCCUGGGAGNNNUGUACAUUGUAAUUAGUUUAUUCUACUACUAUCAUUGCAACCUACACCUUGGACGUCAAUUUAUACAAUUUUUACCGAUCUCAAAUCAAGUAGGACUACCCGCUGAACUUAAGCAUAUCAGUAAGCGGAGGAAAAGAAACUAACAAGGAUUCCCGUAGUAACGGCGAGUGAAGUGGGAAAAGCUCAAAUUUUAAAUCUGGCACCUCUGGUGUCCGAAUUGUAUUUGAUAGAGCUUUCUUGGGGUAAUCGUCAUGGCUCAAGUCCUUUGGAAAGAGGCAUCAUAGAGGGUGAUAAUCCCGUCUAGGUCAUGAUCAAAAGCUCAAUUACAAGAAGGCUCGAAGAGUCGGGUUGUUUGGGGAUGCAGCCCAAAAUGGGAGGUACAUUUCUCCUAAAGCUAAAUAUAGGCAAGAGACCGAUAGCGAACAAGUACCGUGAGGGAAAGAUGAAAAGAACUUUGAAAAGAGAGUUAAACAGUACGUGAAAUUGUUAAAAGGGAAACGAUUGAGAUCAGUGAUGUUCCUGUAGUUUCAGGAGACACCUAACCGGGUCUCUGUAUUACUGCCUGAACGGGUUGACUCUCAUUUUUCGGCCUGGUCAAGGCUUGAGGAAAGGUGGCCUUACCUUCGGGUGACGGCUUUAUAGUCCUCUUGAGAUACAGACCGGAAGAUGAGUGAAAGGGACUCCCUUUCUCAAGGACCGUUAAACGUCCAAGUCGACAAAAUGAUCUUAACCGACC